rnacentral:snoRNA from 1 species
AAGACUAUACUUUCAGGGAUCAUUUCUACAGUGUGUUACUGAAGUUUCUCUGAAGGUGUAGAGCACCAGAAACCACAAGGAGGAGGCACAGCGUUCUCUCCUGAGCAUGAAGCCAGCUCUUGGUAUACUUUUGCUGCAGCUGCCAUUUGCCAUUGAUACUCAUUUUUCUCCUCAUUCUGGAGAGUAACAGGGAGAGGAUGUAAUCUGAGUGGU